AUCCGAGUCUGAGUUGACUAGUGAACAACCCACAACAUCUUCAUGUGGUAUACCAUGCAGGGAAGAAACUACCAGUGUCAUGGGAUUACUACAAACUAUGCAGGAUUCGUCAAUUACAUUAUUUGAUGAUGAAAUAGAAAUCACAUUACAACCACUUGUAACUGACACAGUUUGUCAGGAGGAUGAUGAUGAUGAGACACAAAU